rnacentral:rRNA from 1 species
UGGUCAAGUUAUUAAGGGUGCAGGGCGGAUGCCUUGGCACUAGGAGCCGAUGAAGGACGUGAUAAGCUGCGAUAAGCUUCGGGGAGUUGCACGUAAACUUUGAUCCGAAGAUUUCCGAAUGAGGAAACUCACUUAGAGUAAUGUCUAAGUAUCAUUAAGUGAAUACAUAGCUUAAUGAGGGGAACUCAGGGAACUGAAACAUCUAAGUACCUGAAGGAAGAGAAAGAAAUUCGAUUCCGUAAGUAGCGGCGAGCGAACGCGGAUUAGCCCAAACCAAUAAAGUUUUCUUUAUUGGGGUUGCGGACAUAUCAUAACGAAGAGGUAUCGUAAUUGAAGAGGUUUGGAAAGACCUACCACAGAAGGUAAUAGUCCUGUAUGUUAAACGAGAAGACUUUAGAUAUGAUCCAGAGUACCACGGGACACGUGAAACCCUGUGGGAAGCAGGAGGGACCACCCUCCAAGGCUAAAUACUACCUAGUGACCGAUAGCGUAUAGUACCGUGAGGGAAAGGUGAAAAGAACCCCGGGAGGGGAGUGAAAUAGAACCUGAAACCCUGCACUUACAAGCUGUGGAAGCACAUUUCUUGUGUGACCGCGUACUUUUUGUAGAACGGGCCAACGAGUUACGUUAAGUAGCAAGGUUAAGCACUUAAGGUGCGGAGCCGUAGCGAAAGCGAGUUUUAACUGAGCGUUCAGUUACUUGACGUAGACCCGAAACCGGGCGACCUACCCAUGAGCAGGAUGAAGCGAAAGUAAAAUUUCGUGGAGGUCCGAACCCACGAGCGUUGAAAAGCUCGGGGAUGACUUGUGGGUAGCGGUGAAAUUCCAAUCGAGCCCGGAGAUAGCUGGUUCUCCCCGAAAUAGCUUUAGGGCUAGCCUCAAGGUGAGAGAUACGGAGGUAGAGCACUGAAUGUCCUAGGGGGUAUUGCACCUACCGAAGACUAUCAAACUCCGAAUGCCGUCAUCUUAUACUUGGGAGUCAGACUGUGGGUGAUAAGAUUCAUAGUCGAAAGGGCAACAGCCCAGAUCGUCAGCUAAGGUCCCUAAAUGUAAGUUAAGUGGUAAAGGAUGUGGGAUUGCACAGACAACCAGGAUGUUGGCUUAGAAGCAGCCACUCAUUCAAAGAGUGCGUAAUAGCUCACUGGUCGAGUGAUCCUGCGCCGAAGAUUUCCGGGGCUAAAACUUACUACCGAAGCUACGGCAUCAGUAAUGAUGGGUAGGGGAGCUUCCCAUACGGGUUGAAGCAUGACCGUAAGGACAUGUGGACAGUAUGGGAGUGAGAAUGUUGGCAUGAGUAGCGAGAUGUGGGUGAGAAUCCCACAGGCCGUAAACCCAAGGUUUCCAGGGGAAGGUUCGUCCGCCCUGGGUUAGUCGGGACCUAAGCUGAGGCCGAAAGGCGUAGGUGAUGGACAACAGGUUGAUAUUCCUGUACUACCGAUAACCAUUUGAGAGAAGGGAUGACACAGUAGGAUAAGCUAAGCACACUGUUGGUUAUGUGUGCCCAAGCAUUGAGGCAGUCAAAGUAGGCAAAUCCGCUUUGAUAAUGCUGGGAUGUGAUGGGGAGCGAAAUUUAGUAGCGAAGUAGCUGAUUUCACACUGUCAAGAAAAGUCUCUAUCGAGGUUAAAGGUACCCGUACCGCAAACCGACACAGGUGGGUGAGGAGAGUAUCCUAAGGCCAGCGAGAGAACUGUUGUUAAGGAACUCGGCAAAAUGACCCCGUAACUUAGGGAUAAGGGGUGCCACCAUCAGGUGGCCGCAGAGAAUAGGCCCAAGCGACUGUUUACCAAAAACAUAGGUUUCUGCUAAGUCGCAAGACGAUGUAUAGGAGCUGACGCCUGCCCGGUGCUGGAAGGUUAAGGGGAUCUGUUAGAGCAAUCGAAGCAGUGAACUUAAGCCCCAGUAAACGGCGGCCGUAACUAUAACGGUCCUAAGGUAGCGAAAUUCCUUGUCGGGUAAGUUCCGACCCGCACGAAAGGCGUAACGAUUUGGGCACUGUCUCAACAACAGACUCGGUGAAAUUGUAAUUCCGGUGAAGAUGCCGGAUACCUGCGACAGGACGGAAAGACCCCAUGGAGCUUUACUGUAGCUUGACAUUGGGUCUUGGUACUACAUGUACAGGAUAGGUGGGAGGCUUUGAAACCAGGACGCCAGUUUUGGCGGAGCCAUCCUUGGGAUACCACCCUUGUAGUACUGGGACUCUAACCAUAGGCCAUGAAUCUGGUCUUGGGACACUGUCAGGUGGGCAGUUUGACUGGGGCGGUCGCCUCCCAAAAGGUAACGGAGGCGCUCAAAGGUUCUCUCAGUACGGUCGGAAAUCGUACGUAGAGUGUAAAGGCAAAAGAGAGCUUGAUUGCAAGACAUACAGGUCGAGCAAGGAUGAAAAUCGGACUUAGUGAUCCGGUGGUUCUGCGUGGAAGGGCCAUCGCUCAACGGAUAAAAGCUACCCUGGGGAUAACAGGCUUAUCUCCCCCAAGAGUCCACAUCGACGGGGAGGUUUGGCACCUCGAUGUCGGCUCAUCACAUCCUGGGGCUGUAGUAGGUCCCAAGGGUUGGGCUGUUCGCCCAUUAAAGUGGUACGCGAGCUGGGUUCAGAACGUCGUGAGACAGUUCGGUCCCUAUCCGUCGCAGGCGUAGGAAAUUUGAGAAGACCUGUCCUUAGUACGAGAGGACCGGGAUGGACGUACCUCUGGUGUACCAGUUGUCCUGCCAAGGGCAUGGCUGGGUAGCUAUGUACGGAAUGGAUAAGCGCUGAAAGCAUCUAAGCGCGAAGCCAACUUCAAGAUAAGAUUUCCCACCGCAAGGGUAAGACCCCAGAAAGACUAUCUGGUUGAUAGGUCGAAGGUGUAAGUGCAGCAAUGUAUUUAGCUUAUCGAUACUAAUAGGUCGAGGACUUGACCAAGAUUUAUU